rnacentral:lncRNA from 1 species
CGCUUGUAGCGUAAAACAUCGUAAAGAAGAAGAAGUGACACUGGCUGGGCUAAUUCUGCAGACAUCAUCUAUAAACAAGGAACCUCAUGAGUUGGAAAUUACAGUAAAGGAAAGACAGGUGACAGCGGCAUCAUGCUCUUGCAAAGCAGGGCAGCACAAGUGUAAGCACAUGAUAGCACUACUGCUGCACAUUCAUGCAACAGAAACGUUUGACGUCCUUUCUUCUACUGAUAUGCCUCAGCAAUGGGGUAAAGAACAGCUGACAGAUGCAAGAAAGAAGUAUAAACCAAGGUUGAUUGCAGAGUUGCCGUGCUCGAAAAAGGAAACAAUGCUGGUGCAUCAAGAUCAUCUCAUCUAACUGCGAGGCAAGAUAAGUCGGAGGGAACGUGCAGGUCUCCAGCAUCCCCAGCAACCAUUCGACAGGAGAAUAGCAAUGCAUUUGUGGAACAGCAAAGCACACUCAUCACACGACCAUCAACACUCACUGAAGCAGUUGCACAAGCAAUGGCAACUGGAGCCAGGUCAGCAGAUGACAUGUACAAUUACAUUCAGCAUACAUUCACAGACUCAAACAUAGAAGAAAUCACUUCCAUAACCACACAACAAGCAGAUUCACUGCACUGGAUGCUGUACAGAAGAGGGAUGGUGACAGCCUCCAUUGCAUAUUCAGUUUACACAAGGGUGCACACAUUAAGGACAAAAAUGGGGCCUCAUGACGUGCGGCCUCUUUUGAAGUCUAUAAUGAGAGAGCACAAUGUUCAAACUUCUGCAAUGUC